UUUCCGUAGGUGAACCUGCGGAAGGAUCAUUAAUGAUUUUUAAAGCGAGUCGAGCGUUAAGCGAGGCUUGCGAAAUAUUUAAAACCCCACUCUUUUUAACCUUAAAAAAUAGAUCAUGAUACAUGAAUUUAAAAAAAAAAAGAUCACUUUCAACAACGGAUCUCUUGGCUCUCGCAUCGAUGAAGAACGCAGCGAAAUGCGAUAAGUAGUGUGAAUUGCAUAAUUUUGUGAAUCAUCGAAUCUUUGAACGCAAAUUGCACUCCCUGGUAUUCCGGGGAGUAUGCCUGUUUGAGGGUCGUUAGAAUAAAAAUCGAGGCGUCGCUCUUUUUAUUUAAGGGUGAUCGCGUCGGAAUUGAGCCGUCUUUCAAAUGUUAAUUCAUGUUAAAGUGGCUUAAAAUUCAUCCAUCCGGUACGAUUAAAGCGUAUUUAAGAUCAAUUUUGAUUAAGAACGCGCGAUGACGUACCAUCUCAUGCAGUACGUUUGACCUGGCGUCGUCAGGAUCAUUCGUAUACGAUACUCAACUUUUGACCUCAAAUCAGGUAAGAAUACCCGCUGAACU
rnacentral:rRNA from 1 species